UGACUAACACCUGCCUCUGAUUGAGAACCACAUCAGGCCAAACAUAGAAAUAGACAAACUAGACAUGUAACAUAGAAUGCCCACUCAGAUCACACCCUGACCAAACAAAACAUAGAAACAUACAAAGCAAACUAUGGUCAGCGUGUGACAAUGUGUAUGAGGUGUAUACUUUUGUUUCAAAGUAUAUUUGUUUAAGACUAACAAGAAACACUGUGCGACCCUGAUUUAGCCCACUGCAAUAAAAGGUUGUCAUGUUUUUGAGGAACUAGUACAUGUCUAGUUACUCUAAGUGGGCUGUACUUGUACUCUUAAUCAAGUAAUUUCACAAGGAAGGAACUUACUUUUUACUGGGUUAAUUUUACCAAAUCACUUCAGUGACAUAGAUAUGUAUUAUGAUAUAUUAUGUCACAGGGCUUGACAUACAGGGCUGCCCACUGACCCAGGGAGAUUUACGAAUCCCUCCAGGCCAGUCAAUCAUCCACAUCAGUGACCCAGUUGGACCGUAAUGCUGUUUUAAAUCUAGGCUUCAUAAUUGAUGAAAAAACAGAUGGCUUCCCGAAGCUGUUAGUUCGUUAUGCCGAUUAUUUAGGCUAUCACACACACGCAGCACAGCCUGAGGGGAUUAGGCUAUCAUCUGGCAGGCAGCAAGAGAGUGCAACUCUUAAUAACUGGUUGUCCGUUCACAAAAGCUCACAAAAGAACGACAGUGGUCGGGAAGGUAGGAAAGACUUUUCAAUUGAUGAUAUCUAACAGUAAAUUAUGAUUUGAUGGUGAUUCGUAUCAAUCAUGUCAGCAUUUAUUUUGCAAACUCUGCCAUCAUAUGUAGGCUACGUCACUCUACAUUGUAGCUUUGGCUACAGAAACACUACUAGUAGAGGGAGACAAGAUGGCAUCGCUGUGAGAGGGACUGUUUUCUCGCUUGUCCAAGCAACUUCGAGGGUUAGGUGUUUAACAGUCUAAUAUUGGCUAUCAAUGUGGCGAGAAACUAACAAUAACUUGUUUUAACUACAUAGGACAAGUUUGGAGUUCAUUUUGGUCAAGUUGAAUGCGAAGAACUUGGUAGAAGAUGGAAUAUCCAAGUCUCACUGUCACGUCUACUCCCGCUCCUCCCCUCCGGUGUUCUACGUCGCAGGUCGGUGGUUCCUGGUCCCCCAUCGACUUGGGAAACGAAGAUCUGAUGGACCCCCUCGCAAUGUCAUCCUGCGCUUCACUAUGCGCCACCACAGGGACAUCAUCUGGAAAAUGGCCAAGGGCAACAAGUUUCUGGACGAGAAGAAGCUCAGCAUCAAAGAGGCUCUGAUACCGCAGGAUCGGACAGCCAAGGAGAAACUGUGGCCGCUUAUAUAGAAGGCACGACAAGAGGGAAAGCAGGCUGGGUUCAAGGGCCAAAACGCGUUCUUCGAAGGAAGAAAGAUCACUUGAACUGUGAGUACUGCCAAGAGUACAUUUACUGUACUACCGUGGGUAAAUUUACAGUUUGAAAUACAAUUUAUGAACACUUGCCAACAAAAAAAUGGAAAAAAGGGAUUUGUUAUCCUGUUAACCACCGCUACAUCAGCUGAGCAUUGUUGGGCAAUGUCAAGGUUCACUGUUUUAUUGUUCACAUUACUACAUAUGUUAUAUAGUUUGUGUCUUUCUUUUUUUAAUGCUGGAGUUUGUAUUCAACUCACUCAAUAUCGUUAGUCUGAAUGCUAGGGGUUUGAGAGAUCUUACGAAAAGAAAAGUUAUUUUUACAUUGCAGUAACUUUCACGCCCUGACCUUAGAGCCUUUUAAUGUCUAUAUUUGGUUUGGUCAGGGUGUGAUUUGGGGUGGGCAUUAUAUGUUCUGUUGUCUAUGUUUUUGUAUUUCUAUGGUUCUCAAUCAGGGACAGCUGUCUAUCGUUGUCUCUGAUUGGGAAUCAUACUUAGGCAGCCUUUUCCCCUUUUGUUAUUGUGGGAAGUUGACUUUUGUUCAUAGCCCUGUGAGGUUCACAGUAGUUUCUUCGUUUGUUGUUUUGUUGGCGUCCUUUUAAAUAAAAGGAAAAUGUACGCUCA